GGUCAGUGAUGUGAUGUAAAAGGUCUGAAGCCUGACUCUCCGCCCACUUCCUGUGCUCCUCCCAGCAGCCCCUGCUGUUACUCCAGUAUACUCUAGGUGUGUAUCACUGGUUCGCGGGGCGGCUGAUAUUUAAGUGGCUGUGCUGGGUGUGUGUUUCUGAGAGCAACAAGUCUCACACACAGUGCAGCACACACACACACACACACACACAGGAGGAUGGAGGUGUGGAAAUGUUAGGCUAUUGAUCUGAACCUCAUACUGAGACC
ensembl:scaRNA